rnacentral:rRNA from 1 species
CCUACGGGAGGCAGCAGUGAGGAAUAUUGGUCAAUGGGCGCAAGCCUGAACCAGCCAAGUCGCGUGAGGGAUGACGGUCCUAUGGAUUGUAAACCUCUUUUGUCGGGGAGCAAGGCCCGCCACGUGUGGCGGGAAGGAGAGUACCCGAAGAAAAAGCAUCGGCUAACUCCGGGCCAGCAGCCGCGGUAAUACGGAGGAUGCGAGCGUUAUCCGGAUUUAUUGGGUUAAAAGGGUGCGUAGGCGGAAGGUUAAGGUGGCGGUAAAAUGUCGGGGCUCAACACCGGCCUGCCGUUGAAACUGGUCUUCUUGAGUGAGCGAGAAGUAUGCGGAAUGCGUGGUGUAGCGGUGAAAUGCAUAGAUAUCACGCAGAACUCCGAUUGCGAAGGCAGCAUACCGGCGCUCAACUGACGCUGAGGCACGAAAGCGUGGGGAUCGAACAGGAUUAGAUACCCUUGUAGUC